rnacentral:rRNA from 1 species
AGACCCGAAACCCGGUGAUCUAGCCAUGGGCAGGUUGAAGGUUGGGUAACACUAACUGGAGGACCGAACCGACUAAUGUUGAAAAAUUAGCGGAUGACCUGUGGCUGGGGGUGAAAGGCCAAUCAAACCGGGAGAUAGCUGGUUCUCCCCGAAAGCUAUUUAGGUAGCGCCUCGUGAAUUCAUCUCCGGGGGUAGAGCACUGUUUCGGCUAGGGGGCCAUCCCGGCUUACCAACCCGAUGCAAACUGCGAAUACCGGAGAAUGUUAUCACGGGAGACACACGGCGGGUGCUAACGUCCGUCGUGAAGAGGGAAACAACCCAGACCGCCAGCUAAGGUCCCAAAGUCAUGGUUAAGUGGGAAACGAUGUGGGAAGGCCCAGACAGCCAGGAUGUUGGCUUAGAAGCAGCCAUCAUUUAAAGAAAGCGUAAUAGCUCACUGGUCGAGUCGGCCUGCGCGGAAGAUGUAACGGGGCUAAACCAUGCACCGAAGCUGCGGCAGCGAACGUAUCACCCAAGACAACUUUACGGAGUUGACGAUUGACGGAGCGAAGCGACGUCAAAGCGUUCAUUAAAGUCGAGUUGGCUUAGGGAUACGUUCGUUGGGUAGGGGAGCGUUCUGUAAGCCUGUGAAGGUGGCCUGUGAGGGUUGCUGGAGGUAUCAGAAGUGCGAAUGCUGACAUAAGUAACGAUAAAGCGGGUGAAAAGCCCGCUCGCCGGAAGACCAAGGGUUCCUGUCCAACGUUAAUCGGGGCAGGGUGAGUCGACCCCUAAGGCGAGGCCGAAAGGCGUAGUCGAUGGGAAACGGGUUAAUAUUCCCGUACUUGGUGUUACUGCGAAGGGGGGACGGAGAAGGCUAUGUUGGCCGGGCGACGGUUGUCCCGGUUUAAGCGUGUAGGUGUGUGUUCCAGGUAAAUCCGGUUCACUUUAACACUGAGGCGUGAUGACGAGGCACUACGGUGCUGAAGCAACAAAUGCCCUGCUUCCAGGAAAAGCCUCUAAGCAUCAGGUAACAUCAAAUCGUACCCCAAACCGACACAGGUGGUCAGGUAGAGAAUACCAAGGCGCUUGAGAGAACUCGGGUGAAGGAACUAGGCAAAAUGGUGCCGUAACUUCGGGAGAAGGCACGCUGACAC